rnacentral:ncRNA from 1 species
GGAAAUACAAGGAUAAAGGAGUAGUAGCGUCACUUCGGAAAGCAAGAGAGCUGGCGGACGGUGCAAGCCAGCCUGAGAAGAGAUGUGAACUCGCCUUUUAGUUGUAAGAGUGAACCGCAUUGCCAGUAGCUCUUAACGGGACACACCGUUAUGUGUAAGUGAACAGGCGAUGCCUGUUAAUGUGGGUGGCACCGCGGGAAUGUAUGCAAACUCUCGUCCCUUUU